rnacentral:rRNA from 1 species
GACGAACGCUGGCGGCGUGCUUAACACAUGCAAGUCGAACGGAAAGACCCUGCUUUUGUGGGGUGCUCGAUUGGCGAACGGGUGAGUAACACGUGAGUAUCCUGCCCUUGACUUUGGGAUAACUUCAGGAAACUGGGGCUAAUACCGGAGAGGAGCUCCUGCUGCACGGUGGGGGUUGGAAAGUUUCGGCGGUUGGGGCUGGACUCGCGGCUUAUCAGCUUGUUUGGGGGGUAGUGGCUUACGAAGGCUUUGACGGGUAGCCGGCCUGAGAGGGGGACCGGGCACAUGGGGCCUGCGAUACGGCGCAGAAUCCUACGGGCGGCAGUGGUGGGGAAUAUUGCACAGUGGGGGGAAGCGUGAUGCAGCAACGCCGCGUGCGGAAUGCCGGCCUUCGGGUUGUAAACCGAUUUCGCAUGUGACGAAGCGUGAGUGACGGUAAUGGGUCAAGAAGCACCGGCUAACUACGUG